AAUGUUGCGCAAUGGGGGAAACCGGAAGCAGCAACGCCGCGUGGAGGAUGAAGGUUUUCGGAUGGUAAACUCUUUAAUUGGGGGAAGAGGAAGGAGGGUACCCCGGGACGAAGACACGGCUAACUAGGUGCCAGCAGCCGCGGUAAUACCUAGGUGUCAAGCGUUAUCCGAAAUUACUGGGCGUAAAGGGUGCGCAGGCGGCGAUACAAGUCUGGCGUGAAAGCUCCGGCUUAACUGGGAGAGGAGGUCGGAAACUGUAUGGCUAGAGUGAUGAAGGGGGGCGGAAAUCCCGGUGUAGUGGUGAAUGGGUAGAUAUCGGGAAGAACACCAGAGGCGAAGGCGGCCUCGUGGCAUUUACUGACGCUGAGGCAGGAAAGCGUGGGUAGCGAACGGGAUUAGAUACCCCGGUAGUCCAGGCUGUAA
rnacentral:rRNA from 1 species